rnacentral:pre_miRNA from 1 species
UCUGCACUUCGCACGCUAUCUCACCGGUCAGAGAGGCGAGAGAGUGUGUGAAAUGAAGAGA